rnacentral:rRNA from 1 species
UACGGAGGGGGCUAGCGUUGUUCGGAAUUACUGGGCGUAAAGCGCACGUAGGCGGCUUUGUAAGUUAGAGGUGAAAGCCCGGGGCUCAACUCCGGAAUUGCCUUUAAGACUGCAUCGCUAGAAUUGUGGAGAGGUAAGUGGAAUUCCGAGUGUAGAGGUGAAAUUCGUAGAUAUUGGGAAGAACACCGGUGGCGAAGGCGGCUCACUGGCUCGUAACUGACGCUCAUGCACGACAGCCGUGGGGAUCAAACAGG